GUAUUCUGACUGUGCUAAGGUAGCAUAAUCAUUUGUCUUUUCAUUGAAGUCUAGAAUAAACGGUUAGACGAAGGGAUUAUUUUUUUUAAGGUGACUAAAAUAACUUUUUAAAAAAGUUAAAAAACUUUUAUCUACUAGGGGGACGACAAGACCCUAAAAUCUGCCUUAUAAAAAAAUCUAGAAACAUUACCUUAAAAGGCUUACUGGGGCGGUAAAUAUUAUAAACAAUCUAAAUUAUACCGUCAUUGACGAAUUUAAACAACCUUUAAAUACAAAUAAAAAGAUACUUUAGGGAUAACAGCAUGAUUUUUCUACAGAGCUCUUAUCGCCAGAAAAGAUUAUGACCUCGAUGUUGAAUUGAGCACACUAAUGUAAGCAGC
rnacentral:rRNA from 1 species